rnacentral:rRNA from 1 species
UGCAUAUCAAUAAGCGGAGGAAAAGAAACCAACUGGGAUUACCUUAGUAACGGCGAGUGAAGCGGUAAAAGCUCAAAUUUGAAAUCUGGUACUUUCAGUGCCCGAGUUGUAAUUUGUAGAAUUUGUCUUUGAUUAGGUCCUUGUCUAUGUUCCUUGGAACAGGACGUCAUAGAGGGUGAGAAUCCCGUUUGGCGAGGAUACCUUUUCUCUGUAAGACUUUUUCGAAGAGUCGAGUUGUUUGGGAAUGCAGCUCAAAGUGGGUGGUAAAUUCCAUCUAAAGCUAAAUAUUGGCGAGAGACCGAUAGCGAACAAGUACAGUGAUGGAAAGAUGAAAAGAACUUUGAAAAGAGAGUGAAAAAGUACGUGAAAUUGUUGAAAGGGAAGGGCAUUUGAUCAGACAUGGUGUUUUUUGCAUGCACUCGCCUCUCGUGGGCUUGGGCCUCUCAAAAAUUUCACUGGGCCAACAUCAAUUUUGGCAGCAGGAUAAAUCAUUAAGAAUGUAGCUACUUCGGUAGUGUUAUAGCUUUUUGGAAUACUGUUAGCCGGGAUUGAGGAC